rnacentral:rRNA from 1 species
UACGGAGGGUGCAAGCGUUAUCCGGAUUUACUGGGUUUAAAGGGUGCGUAGGUGGGUAGGUAAGUCAGUGGUGAAAUCUUCGAGCUUAACUCGGAAACUGCCAUUGACACUAUUUAUCUUGAAUACUCUGGAGGUAAGCGGAAUAUGUCAUGUAGCGGUGAAAUGCUUAGAUAUGACAUAGAACACCAAUUGCGAAGGCAGCUUACUACAUAGUUAUUGACACUGAGGCACGAAAGCGUGGGGAUCAAACAGG